rnacentral:rRNA from 1 species
CCUACGGGAGACAGCAGUGGGGAAUCUUCCGCAAUGGGCGAAAGCCUGACGGAGCAACGCCGCGUGAUCGAAUGAAGGCCUUCGGGUUGUAAAGAUCUGUUGACAGGGACGAAUAAGCAAUGCGAAUAGUUUUGUGUAUGACGGUACCUGUUUAGAAAGCUCCUGCUAACUACGUGCCAGCAGCCGCGGUAAGACGUAAGGAGGAAGCGUUGUCCGGAAUUACUGGGGUUAAAGGGCGCGUAGGUGGGCGCGUAAGUCAGGUGGGAAAACGGCGGGCUCAACCUGGAGACUGAACUUGAAACUGGGUGUCUUGAGGGGGGGAGAGGAAAGUGGAAUGCGUAGUGUAGCGGUGAAAUGCGUAGAUAUUAGGAGGAACACCAGUGGCGAAGGCGACUUUCUGGACUGUACCUGACGCUGAGGCGCGAAAGCGUGGGUAGCGAACGGGAUUAGAUACCCUUGUAGUC